CCUACGGGAGGCAGCAGUGAGGAAUAUUGGUCAAUGGACGCAAGCCUGAACCAGCCAAGUAGCGUGAAGGAUGACUGCCCUACGGGUUGUAAACUGCUUUUAGAAAGGAAUAAAGUGAGGCACGUGUGCCUUUUUUUAUGUGUUUUAUCAAUAAGGAUAGGCGAAAUCUGUGUGAGCAGCCCCGGUAAUACAGAGGAUGCGCGCGUGAUCCGGAUUUAUUGGGUUUAAAGGGAGAGUAGAUGGGUUGUUAAGUCAGGUGUGAAAGUUUGCGGUUCAAACGUAAAAUUGCAAUUGAUACUGGCAGUCUUGAGGACAGGUGAGGUAGGCGGAAUUCGUGGUGUAGCGGUGAAAUGCUUAGAUAUCACGAAGAACUCCGAUCGCGAAGGCAGGUGACUAAACUGCCACUGACAUUGAUGCUCGAAAGUGCGGGUAUCAAACAGGAUUAGAUACCCGUGUAGUC
rnacentral:rRNA from 1 species